CGGACGGGUGAGUAAUGUCUGGGAAACUGCCUGAUGGAGGGGGAUAACUACUGGAAACGGUAGCUAAUACCGUAUAACGUCGCAAGACCAAAGAGGGGGACCUUCGGGCCUCUUGCCAUCGGAUGUGCCCAGAUGGGAUUAGCUAGUAGGUGGGGUAACGGCUCACCUAGGCGACGAUCCCUAGCUGGUCUGAGAGGAUGACCAGCCACACUGGAACUGAGACACGGUCCAG
rnacentral:rRNA from 1 species